GCGGCGGAGGCGGCCGCCGUGAGGCUCCCGGGGCCCCGGGAAUCGGGCGCCAUCUGCUCUCUCGGCGCCUCGGGCCCCCGAGCCGAGCCCUCCCGCCGCGGGGCCGCGCACGCCCGAGCCGGGGCUCCGAGCGCUGUCCGGCGCGGCCCUGGAAUGGGCUCGGGGGUGGGGCGUCCCCCUUGGCAGGGAGGAAGUUGCCAGCUGGAAACAAAGCACCUGUGAGGGGACGCUGGUCUCUUGGGAAGGCAGCCGGCUGUUAACUCAUGACACCUCCUGGAGUGGGCACCGGCCGGGAAAGCCACCCCAGCUGCAGACCGAGAACAAGGAAGACGCCAGGUGUUCACAGGCCCAGGCGAGAAGAUCACAGUAAAACCUUCCUGUAUCGCGAGGCAGCCCACGCCCACCCAGUGGUGCCCACGCUGUCCCGUUAACCUGCCUUCUUUCUCCAAUAAACUUAACUAUUUAUUUCUACUGA